UGAAGACUCGAUGAAAAAUAAACUAAAAAAAAGAAUAAACUCAGAAAGUUGAGGACCUAAGCUGAGGACCUAAAUAUGUGUUUUGCCUCUAUACACCUACAAUCUUUUAAUUCCCACUUAAUACUUCAAAAGAGAGAGCCUCCAAAAUUAUUAGAAGAUAAAUUUUCAGUCAACAAGGUAAAAUAGAUAAGAAAAGAAAAUGCCACUGGAAACAAAAAUGUAAUUUAUAAUCCAACUACCAAAUAGAGAUAUAAGAAUCUUUUUUUUUAUCCUCCCCUUAUCUUUGCCUGCACCGCACCUCCCCAUCUAACAUCUGCUGCAUAUAUACAUGAGAUUUCAGUUGGCUCUUGUAUAAGGUAUGUACAAAAUCCUAUUUCUGUCAUUCACCAGCACUGCUACAAAUCUGCAGUUAUCUCACCAGACUAUUUCUCUGAUGGAUAACUAGUCAUCAUAUCCUGUGAUAUGCAUCUUGUAUUUGACUUUUAUUGCCAUAAAAUCUUCCAACCUAGAUCAUAAAUUUAACUCACCCGGUGAAGAUGUUCUUAUUGAUUCCAUGACCUCAGGUACGGUUUCCCCACCGGAUCAUGUAAGCCUGAACUCUGAGACAAAGUCGUCAUCCAACCUAUAUCAUCAGGCAUCACAGAACUAGCUGUAUCUCGCCCACUAAAGUAGUCAAGCGGAUGGGCUGUUUGCGGUAAAGAAUUACCUACCCUAGGAGCAACACCACUUGCCAUCUCAUAGUUCCUUGGCAACAUGAACUGCUCAGCAGGCCCCAUUGAAUCAAAAUGGUUACCAGUGCGCAAUUGGUUACACUGAGAUAGAACGCUAAAUAAGGUCUGGUCUGUAUUACAUCCAAUGCUCUGGCCUGGGACACUUACACUACCUGUACUAUUCCAGCCACUUCGAACUGGAUGCUCCCCAGAAUACCAGUUCUGAGUUAACAAUACAUCAUUAUUCAAAUGAGAUUGGAGCCGUGCUGGCAUGCGAACAGAAUUAACAGGCCAGUCUUGUAGAUUGACUGGGGGUACAUGUCCUUGUCUCGGAAUUAAGUAUGGACUUCCUUCAGAGUAAAUGUCCUCUGACAUAGAUUGUUGCAUGUAAUUCUCACAAUGUCUCUUUAGCCCCUGCUCCAAUGGCAGCGACGGCUGAAGCUGCCUUUGGAUAUUCCCAGCAAAAUGACCAUCUUCAAUCAAAACAUUAUUCGGUGAUUGGAAAUCUAACCGCAUUUGUUUUUGUUUAUGAUGGUAGGGUAGCAUUUCCUGUCCCUUGAUCAGAGACUGAAGCAACCCACUUCGGUCAUGGCUUGGGUAACUGAAGGAACCAUCAUCGCAUUGUCUGGGCAACAAAUCUUUACCAGUGUCAUUUUCAUGCACAUCAGAUUCCAAAUCAAUCAACUGGGGCCGUUGGGUUUCAUUAACUGGAUGUGGGAGUGAAAACUCACUAUUAGAUGUGUAUUCAUGGUUUGCAGUUGAAUCAUAAAAUGAGUGUGGCAUGCUAACUGCUGGCCAAGCAUCUCCACUGGAAGAGAUGGGACCCCCCUGGCUAAUGGAAGCAUCUGCAUCGUUUGCAUUACCCAAGUACUCAGAUGCAUUUGGAGAAGCAUCAACUGAUUUGGAUGCUGCAUGAUUACCUUCUGAAUCCAUAUCUAUGGGGUUAAGCUCAUGGCCACCACUUUGGGAAGAAAUCUGCUGUGGAGAUUGAUACUCUGGAGAGCCAGAACCAGAAAGUUCAUUAUCUUCCACAUAAGACUGUUGGUUUCUUAUUCCAUUCUGAUCCUCAAGCAGAACUCUAUCCUGGCUCUCUUUUUCCUCGUCCUGAAUACACCAAAAUCACAAACCAGCAACUUAAACAUUGAACCAAUAAGGUAGAUGGUAAUUAGAAUCACGUUCAACAAUUUCAACUGAACAUCCAACCAACUAAAUUAUAUCAGAUGCAGAACUAAGCACGCAUGCGCAAGAAAAAGGAGAACAUUAUCAGUGUAAGUAUCAAACCUCCAGAAUGGCUUCAUAUUCUCUUGCUCCUUGAUCAUUCUGAUAGCCAACAACAUUCUCAUCAUUCAAUUCCUCCUCAUCCUGCUUAUUGUAUUCAUGUUGCCAUGCUUCUAGAUCAUUUUGAUCCUGAAAACAGUUCAAUUCUUCCUCAUCCUGAAUAGAUUCAAGAACCAACAAGUUAGACAUGUAAACAACAAGGGAGACUUUUACAUUCACACGCUUUCCGCUGCCAUCCAACACAAUUGUAUCAGGUACAGAAAUAGGACACAUGCACAAGGAAAAAAGAGAAUAUUAUAUCAAACCUCCACUCUGUAUUCAUGUUUUCUUGCUCCUUGAUCAUUUAGAUCCUGAAGAAAAAUCUCAUGGUUCACUCCCUCCUCUUCCUGAAUGGAUUCACAAACCAACAAUUAAACAUGUAAACAAGGAAGACUUUUACUGUUGAUCAAUUCCUGCUGCCAUCCAAUGCAAAUUAUAUCAGAUGCAGACAUAAGCACACAUGCAGAAGGAGAAAAGGCAAAUUAUGAAGGGCAAUGUAUCAAAACCUCCACUAUAGAUUCUUGCUUGUCUUUCAAGUCUUGUUCCAAUGAUUUUGUGAUUUCACGCCUUUGUAACUGUCUUUGUCUCCAGUUUUCAUAUGCUAUAGGAAGAUCUUUAUUUGCUACUUGUAACCAAUGCUCCUGCAACUUCUUUUGUUCCUCCUUCACAAAUUCUUCAUAUGGUUGCACAAGCAGUGUGUCAAGGUUACCUAACACACGGUUAAGAGACUUAUACUGAAUGCUUUUACCAGACUGCUUCAUAUUCUUAACAAGUUGGUGCUGCUUCUUGGUUAUCUUUAAAUAUGACAUGUAUUUGACACCAUCUGUGUGGUGGAUAUUAUGCUUGUGUAGCCUUUCUCCUUUUCUGGGUUUAGCAUCAUCUGAAGCAACCAACAGCUUUCUACUUUUAUCCUUCAUGAAGCCUUUUUCAUGAGUCCUUCUCUCAAGCUCUCCACCCUUCAUCACUGAAGAGUUUUGAUUGUCACUGCUGCAUGCUUUCUCCUCUGCAAUCAAAGAGCAAGAUUCAGAUGUAGCCACAGCAUCAUCCUCAAGUUCACAAAAUCUUGACUCAUUUGCAUUUGAGGAAACUCUUCUGUCUGCAACCCUUGUUG
rnacentral:misc_RNA from 1 species